rnacentral:rRNA from 1 species
CUGCUCAAUGAAAAAUUUUAAAUAGCUGCAAUUUUUGUACUAAGGUAGCAUAAUCAUUUGUUUUUUAAUUUUAAACUAGAAUGAAAGGUAAAACAAAUUAUUUCUUUAUUUUUUAUUUUAUUCCAAUUUAUAUUAAAUAUAAAAAUAUAUUUUUUUAAAAAAAAGACGACAAGACCCUAUUGAACUUUACUUUAGUUAAGCUGGGGAAGCUUAAUAAUAAACAUUUUAUUAAAAAUUUUAUAAAUGACCCAAAACAUUUGAUUAAUUAAUCAAGUUACCAUAGGGAUAACAGCGCAAUAAACUUUUAAAGUUCUUAUCUAAAAAUUUGUUUACGACCUCGAUGUUGAAUUAGAAACCUUUAUUAAGCAAAAAUA